UAGGGUUCGAUUCCGGAGAGGGAGCCUGAGAAACGGCUACCACAUCCAAGGAAGGCAGCAGGCGCGCAAAUUACCCAAUCCCGACACGGGGAGGUAGUGACAAUAAAUAACAAUACGGGGCUCAUUUGGGUCUCGUAAUUGGAAUGAGUACAAUUUAAAUCUCUUAACGAGGAACAAUUGGAGGGCAAGUCUGGUGCCAGCAGCCGCGGUAAUUCCAGCUCCAAUAGCGUAUAUUAAAGUUGUUGCAGUUAAAAAGCUCGUAGUUGAACUUCGGGGUUUACUCAUUGGUCAGGCUUAAUUGUCUGCACUGGUGAGAUGAAUCUCUACCUUCUGAGGAACUUUCAUGCCAUUUAUUUGGUGUGAUGGGAAAUCAGGACUGUUACUUUGAAAAAAUUAGAGUGUUUAAAGCAGGCUAACGUCUGAAUACAUUAGCAUGGAAUAAUGAAAUAGGACGGACUGAUUCUAUUUCGUUGGUUUCUAGGAUCACCGUAAUGAUUAAUAGGGAUAGUUGGGGGCAUUAGUAUUCAAUUGUCAGAGGUGAAAUUCUUGGAUUUAUUGAAGACUAACUACUGCGAAAGCAUUUGCCAAGGAUGUUUUCAUUAAUCAAGAACGAAAGUUAGGGGAUCGAAGACGAUCAGAUACCGUCGUAGUCUUAACCAUAAACUAUGCCGACUAGGGAUCGGACGAAGUUAAUUUUAUAAUGACGCGUUCGGCACCUUACGGGAAACCAAAGGUUUUGGGUUCAA
rnacentral:rRNA from 1 species